ensembl:lncRNA
CACUCUCCCUGUCUCUGUGUCUCUCCCUCCCCCGCACCUCUCUGAUUCAGAGGGGUUGGGUUAAAUGCACAAUACAUAUUUCGGUUGAAUACAUUCAGUUGCGCAACUGACUAUAUAUAUACAGUGGUGGAAAAUAAGUAUUUGGUCACCUACAAACAAGCAAGAUUUCUGGCUCUCACAGUCCUGUAACUUCUUCUUUAAGAGGCUCCUCUGUCCUCCACUCGUUACCUGUAUUAAUGGCACCUGUUUGAACUUGUUUUCAGUAUAAAAGACACCUGUCCACAACCUCAAACAGUCACACUCCAAACUCCACUAUGGCCAAGACCAUAGAGCUGUCAAAGGACACCAGAAACAAAAUUGUAGACCUGCACCAGGCUGGGAAGACUGAAUCUGCAAUAGGUAAGCAGCUUGGUUUGAAGAAAUCAACUGUGUGAGCAAUUAUUAGGAAAUGGAAGACAUACAAGACCACUGAUAAACUCCCUCGAUCUGGGGCUCCACGCAAGAUCUCACCCCGUGGGGUCAAAAUGAUCACAAGAACGGUGAGCAAAAAUCUGCCUGCUCCUCCUCUCCGUCCCAGGACCCCGGCUCUAGGUGCUGCCUGCUCCUCCUCUCCGUCCCAGGACCCCGGCUCUAGGUGCUGCCUGCUCCUCCUCUCCGUCCCAGGACCCCGGCUCUAGGUCCUGUCUGCUCCUCCUCUCCCUCCCAGGAACCCGGCUCUAGGUCCUGUCUGCUCCUCCUCUCCGUCCCAGGACCCCGGCUCUAGGUCCUGUCUGCUCCUCCUCUCCCUCCCAGGACCCCGGCUCUAGGUCCUGUCUGCUCCUCCUCUCCCUCCAGGAACCCGGCUCUAGGUCCUGUCUGCUCCUCCUCUCCCUCCCAGGACCCCGGCACUAGGUCCUGUCUGCUCCUCCUCUCCCUCCAGGAACCCGGCUCUAGGUCCUGUCUGCUCCUCCUCUCCCUCCAGGAACCCGGCUCUAGGUGGUUUUCAGGGUUCUCCCCUCUGCCUUGGCCAGGAGACAGUAGACUUAGUGGCUGCUGGUAAUCAGAGCUUGUUACUGGGACAUUGUUACAGUGUUUGUCUGUUUGUGUGUCUGUGUCUGAGUCUGUGUGUGUGUGUCUGUGGGUGUGUGUCUGUGUGUUAAUGGCGCUCCGCUUGGCGUGGCUCGUGGCCCAACGGUUGACAUUGAACCAUGUAAUUGAGUUAGCCAAGGCUGCCCAUCCUCAUCACCUAGCUGUGUAUAUAUGUGAUCAGCUGCCCAUAACCCUAGCAGUACAAGGCUCUCAUUUGUCAUUUCCCUCAUUACUGACAGAACGUGUGUGUGUGUGUGUGUGUCAGAGCGAGAGAGUAUGAGCGUGUGUGUGUGUGUGUGUGUGGCAGAGCGAGAGAGUAUGAGCGUGUGUGUGUGUGUGUGUGUGUGUGUGUGGCAGAGCGAGAGAGUAUGAGCCUGUGUGUGUGUGUGUGUGUGUGGGAGAGCGAGAGAGUAUGAGCGUGUGUGUGUGUGUGUGUGGCAGAGUGAGAGAGUAUGAGCAUGUGUGUGUGUGUAUGUGUGUGUGUGUGUGUGUGUGUGGCAGAGCGAGAGAGUAUGAGCGUGUGUUUUUGUGUGUGUGUGUGCAUAUUGGAAGUGCAGAUCUCCC